rnacentral:rRNA from 1 species
AUUGAACGCUGGCGGCAGGCCUAACACAUGCAAGUCGAGCGGAAACGAGAAUAGCUUGCUAUUCGGCGUCGAGCGGCGGACGGGUGAGUAAUGCAUAGGAAGUUGCCCAGUAGAGGGGGAUAACCAUUGGAAACGAUGGCUAAUACCGCAUAACCUCUUCGGAGCAAAGCGGGGGACCUUCGGGCCUCGCGCUACUGGAUACGCCUAUGUGGGAUUAGCUAGUUGGUGAGGUAAUGGCUCACCAAGGCGACGAUCCCUAGCUGGUCUGAGAGGAUGAUCAGCCACACUGGGACUGAGACACGGCCCAG